rnacentral:rRNA from 1 species
CAGCAGUAGCCGCGGUAAUACGGAGGGUGCAAGCGUUAAUCGGAAUUACUGGGCGUAAAGCGCACGCAGGCGGUCUGUCAAGUCAGAUGUGAAAUCCCCGGGCUUAACCUGGGAACUGCAUUUGAAACUGGCAGACUGGAGUCUUGUAGAGGGGGGUAGAAUUCCAGGUGUAGCGGUGAAAUGCGUAGAGAUCUGGAGGAAUACCGAUGGCGAAGGCAGCCAUCUGGCCUAAUACUGACGCUGAGGUACGAAAGCAUGGGGAGCAAACAGGAUUAGAUACCCGCGUAGUCCCUGUCUCUUAUAC